CCUACGGGAGGCAGCAGUGGGGAAUAUUGGACAAUGGGCGCAAGCCUGAUCCAGCAAUGCCGCGUGAGUGAUGAAGGCCUUAGGGUCGUAAAGCUCUUUUACCAGGGAUGAUAAUGACAGUACCUGGAGAAUAAGCUCCGGCUAACUCCGUGCCAGCAGCCGCGGUAAUACGGAGGGAGCUAGCGUUGUUCGGAAUUACUGGGCGUAAAGCGUACGUAGGCGGUUAUUCAAGUCAGAGGUGAAAGCCCGGGGCUCAACCCCGGAACGGCCUUUGAAACUAGGUAGCUAGAAUCUUGGAGAGGUCAGUGGAAUUCCGAGUGUAGAGGUGAAAUUCGUAGAUAUUCGGAAGAACACCAGUGGCGAAGGCGACUGACUGGACAAGUAUUGACGCUGAGGUACGAAAGCGUGGGGAGCAAACAGGAUUAGAUACCCUGGUAGUCCACGCCGUAAACGAUGAUAACUAGCUGUCCGGGCACUUAGGUGCCUGGGUGGCGCAGCUAACGCAUUAAGUUAUCCGCCUGGGGAGUACGGUCGCAAGAUUAAAACUCAAAGGAAUUGACGG
rnacentral:rRNA from 1 species